rnacentral:rRNA from 1 species
UAGCGUAGGGGGCUAGCGUUGUCCGGAAUCAUUGGGCGUAAAGCGCGUGUAGGCGGUCCGGUAAGUCCGCUGUGAAAGUCGGGGGCUCAACCCUGGGAUGCCGGUGGAUACUGUCGGGCUCGAGUCCGGAAGAGGCGAGUGGAAUUCCUGGUGUAGCGGUGAAAUGCGCAGAUAUCAGGAGGAACACCAAUGGCGAAGGCAGCUCGCUGGGACGUGACUGACGCUGAGACGCGAAAGCGUGGGGAGCAAACAGG